rnacentral:rRNA from 1 species
CACGUAGGGCGCAAGCGUUGUCCGGAAUUAUUGGGCGUAAAGAGCUCGUAGGCGGUCUGUCACGUCGGCUGUGAAAACCUGGGGCUCAACUCCGGGCCUGCAGCCGAUACGGGCAGACUAGAGUUCGGCAGGGGAGACUGGAAUUCCUGGUGUAGCGGUGAAAUGCGCAGAUAUCAGGAGGAACACCGGUGGCGAAGGCGGGUCUCUGGGCCGAAACUGACGCUGAGGAGCGAAAGCGUGGGGAGCAAACAGG